rnacentral:rRNA from 1 species
UACGAAGGGGGCUAGCGUUGCUCGGAAUUACUGGGCGUAAAGCGCAUGUAGGCGGAUUGUUAAGUCGGGGGUGAAAUCCUGGAGCUCAACUCCAGAACUGCCUUCGAUACUGGCGAUCUCGAGUUCGGGAGAGGUGAGUGGAACUGCGAGUGUAGAGGUGAAAUUCGUAGAUAUUCGCAAGAACACCAGUGGCGAAGGCGGCUCACUGGCCCGAUACUGACGCUGAGGUGCGAAAGCGUGGGGAGCAAACAGG